CCUACGGGUGGCAGCAGUGAGGAAUAUUGGUCAAUGGGCGCGAGCCUGACCCAGCCAAGUAGCGUGAAGGAUGACUGCCCUACGGGUUGUAAACUUCUUUUAUAAAGGAAUAAAGUGAGGCACGUGUGCCUUUUUGUAUGCACUUUAUGAAUAAGGAUCGGCUAACUCCGUGCCAGCAGCCGCGGGAAUACGGAGGAUCCGAGCGUUAUCCGGAUUUAUUGGGUUUAAAGGGCGCGUAGAUGGGUUGUUGAGUCAGUUGGGAAAGUUUGCGGCUUAACCGUAGAAUUGCAAUUGAUACUGGCAGUCUUGAGUACAGUUGAGGGAGGCGGAAUUCGUGGUGUAGCGGUGAAAUGCGUAGAUAUCACGAAGAACUCCGAUUGCGAAGGCAGCUUACUAAACUGCCACUGACAUUGAUGCGCGAAAGUGUGGGGAUCAAACAGGAUUAGAUACCCCAGUAGUC
rnacentral:rRNA from 1 species